rnacentral:rRNA from 1 species
GAUGAACGCUGGCGGCGUGCCUAAUACAUGCAAGUCGAGCGAACAGACGAGGAGCUUGCUCCUCUGACGUUAGCGGCGGACGGGUGAGUAACACGUGGAUAACCUACCUAUAAGACUGGGAUAACUUCGGGAAACCGGAGCUAAUACCGGAUAAUAUAUUGAACCGCAUGGUUCAAUAGUGAAAGACGGUUUUGCUGUCACUUAUAGAUGGAUCCGCGCCGCAUUAGCUAGUUGGUAAGGUAACGGCUUACCAAGGCAACGAUGGGUAGCCGACCUGAGAGGGUGAUCGCACACACUGGCAGAGAGAAACAGUCCAGACUCCUACAGGAGGCAACAGUAGGGAAUCCUACGCAAUGGAGGAAAGCCUGACGGAGCAAAGCCGCGUGAGUGAUGAAGGUCUUCGGAUCGUAAAACUCUGUUAUUAGGGAAGAACAAAUGUGUAAGUACCUAUGCAGGUCUUGACGGUACCUAAUCAGAAAGCCACGGCUAACUACGUG